UCUAAGGGCAUGAGAGCUGAUGAUAAAAAGAAAAAUAAAGUCUUUCUUUAGACGUCCUCCCUCUCAAAGCCUUAGGGGAGGAAUGUGCAGCCCUCUGCUCGCUGAUGAUGAAAUUAGUGGGCGCUCGUCAUUCAACACAAAGGCGAGAAACGACUGGAAUCUGAUGUCAAAAGCCACGGAAGAGAAUAUAUUUUACACAGCAUAUUAGGCCCCAAUGCAAAUUAGAAGAAAUAUGGGGAGCCUUCAAAAAGAUGCAUCAACUGAGACCUAGAGAGGCAAGUGAUGGAAGCAGAAACUGAGCCCAGGUUUGCCUCAUAUCAGCAGGCCAUGUUCUAUGGUGAAUGGGCUGACCUGCUAUUCUGGUGGUAACUGUUAACCCACUUGGAGGGACUUUGUGAAGAGGAAAAGGGGGAGAAGAGGAGAAGAAGAGAAAGAAGAAAAGGCAGGCAGCAGGAGUAGCAGAGGCAUUUUCCCAGUCUGCCUGCUCUGCAGUUUCUUCCACAUUACCCCCUGUACCAGCUCUUGCAGGUUCUGGUCUCCUACCUCUAACCCCCUUUUAGGAUAAACCCCACUUCACACACUUGAAGGAAAUCUCUGGCCUGGGUACCCAUGGCAGUCUCUUGUUUCCAGACCCCUCCACUAUUUUACCUGCAGGUGCUGCCCUUAGGCAAUGCUUAUUAAAGGCCCUUGUGCCCUGCAACUGGGACAGGAUGGGCAUUCCACGGUCUCCUUCCUAAAAAAACAUUUUAAUCUCUGCUUUCCAUAGCUCUGAGUUGGAAGUGCUGGCUCUUGGGUAUCUAGGAAAGAAUUUUGACUUUUCUCUUAUAUUUGGUCUACAGAGAUUAGAACUGAAUUGAUUUGUGCCAGGUACAUCUUUCUGCAGCAUUUCUGCAAAACAGCUCAGAGGAAAUGCACUGAAAGGGGUGAGAGUCUGUGUUUGUGAGUUGCAGAGAGAAGCCAUCUCAUUUCACCUGCACAUCAACUCUGUUUCGUAGAUAGGCAAUGGGGCUCAGAGAAGUGAAUGCAAAGCCACGUAGGGUUACUUUGGGUGGGGUUAAGUUUAUUAGCCUUUUAAAAAAUUAGUAUGUAUCGAGCACAUAUGGACCGGUAUGAUGCUAAGUGCUUUAAAUGUGUGAUUUUGUUUACUUCUUACAGUAACCUUGUGAAUAAGUUUAUUUGUCCUCAUUUUGCAGCUGAGGAAAUUGAGGCAUAAAGACGUUAGUUACCUUGACUACAGCCACACAGCCAGCAGGAGACAGGAAAUCAGGGUCAAAAGACUAGAUCAACUGACACUGAAGUCCAAGCUCCUUUCACCACUCUGCACAGGCCACAGACUGGUGCAGGGUGGUCCUCAGCUCUCCACAGGGCCUGGCAGGGCCCCCACGACACAAUGGCUGAGGUCAGAGGCCACCACUGAGCAUGCUUCAGAAUAGGGCAAGUGGGAAGGGUCUGGGAAGACUCGGACAAUCAAUCUCCAUGUGAAUAAAAAUUCACUUAGACUCUAGGUCUGAGUCAUUGGCUAAUCUCAAAUUUUAAGUAGCUUUGAAGUGACAGGAAGACUAAGCCUAGGUUAUACUUUCCUGUUUCUAAGUGAUGUCAUUUUUCUGAACCAUUCAGUUUGGGAAUGAUAUUAACUUCUU
rnacentral:lncRNA from 1 species